CCAUACUUCGAUCAGCUUUGCUUUCUCUAAAAAGAAAACAUUUAUUUAUUAACGUUUAUGGAAGCUCACAGCCAAAUUUACACACAAUUUUUGCAAAGUGACGGAUUUAGGCAUGAUGCCGCUAUAAGCGCUGUUUGUCGCACCGCCCUUAAUGAGACUGUCUUUACUUUAUUUCGACACUGAACUUAUGACGACUUGGCAUUUCAAAAAUUUUAAAUCACUUUUAGAAGUGACAAAUUAGAAUGAAAGAAUUACAAAACAAGAUUGAUGGAUUUUUUUAAUUUCAAUUAUAAGUGUUUAACAUCCUACGCACUGACAGUCAUGACGCGAAAGAUAAGAUUUAUAUUACAAUUACAGUUAAUGUAGUCUACGGUUGAUCUACAGGUCGCUUUUCAUGGACGAUGUCACUGUUUCAUAUAUCGACAGGAUUUUGGUAAAACGAUUUACUGCCUUACUUAUCAUAUGGGCUACGAAUAGCCGUAACAUUGUUUCAAUAAAGAGUUUUAUUUGUAUUGUCUAUAA